AGGCAACAUGCAAUGUGAAGCAAUCUUUUUUCAACGACUGGAUAACAGGACAUCUCAAUUUUCAAAUUGAACACCACCUGUUUCCUACAAUGCCUCGACACAACUUCUGGAAGGUGGCCCCCUUGGUCAAGGCAAUGUGUGCCAAACAUGGGAUAGACUACCAGACCAAACCCCUGUUCACUGGCUUUGCAGAUAUUGUGCAUUCCCUGAAGGAUGCAGGAGAGAUCUGGCUCAAUGCAUAUAAUCAUGGAUAAGAAGAAUAUGCUCCACCUACCCACCCAAGCUGUCACAGUUGGAAGUGUCUGGGUGCAACUCAGCUUACACUCAAGAAGAUUUGUGUCUUUGUAUGGGGACGAAUAAAAACGGAUAACCUCCUCAGGUUUCCUA